rnacentral:rRNA from 1 species
ACUCCUACGGGAGGCAGCAGUGGGAAUAUUGCACAAUGGGGGGAAACCCUGAUGCAGCCAUGCCGCGUGUGUGAAGAAGGCCUUCGGGUUGUAAAGCACUUUCAGUAGGGAGGAAGGUAGUGUAGUUAACACCUGCAUUAUUUGACGUUACCUACAGAAGAAGCACCGGCUAACUCCGUGCCAGCAGCCGCGGUAAUACGGAGGGUGCGAGCGUUAUCCGGAUUUAUUGGGUUUAAAGGGUCCGUAGGCGGAUUAAUAAGUCAGUGGUGAAAUCCCAUCGCUUAACGAUGGAACUGCCAUUGAUACUGUUAGUCUUGAAUGAGGGUGCAGUGGUUGGAAUGUGUAGUGUAGCGGUGAAAUGCAUAGAUAUUACACAGAACACCGAUUGCGAAGGCAGAUCACUAACCCUAAAUUGACGCUGAGGGACGAAAGCGUGGGGAGCGAACAGGAUUAGAUA